rnacentral:tRNA from 1 species
AAGAAUUUAGUUGAAUUACAACAAUAAACUGCAGAUUUAUAAGUGUUAUUACAAUUCUUU